UAACACAUGCAAGUCGAGCGGUAACAGGGGGUGCUUGCACCCCGCUGACGAGCGGCGGACGGGUGAGUAAUGCUUAGGAAUCUGCCCAGUAGUGGGGGACAACAGUCGGAAACGGCUGCUAAUACCGCAUACGCCCUACGGGGGAAAGCAGGGGAUCUUCGGACCUUGCGCUAUUGGAUGAGCCUAAGUCGGAUUAGCUAGUUGGUGGGGUAAAGGCCUACCAAGGCGACGAUCCGUAGCUGGUCUGAGAGGAUGAUCAGCCACAUCGGGACUGAGACACGGCCCGAACUCCUACGGGAGGCAGCAGUGGGGAAUAUUGGACAAUGGGGGCAACCCUGAUCCAGCCAUGCCGCGUGUGUGAAGAAGGCUUUCGGGUUGUAAAGCACUUUCAGCGAGGAGGAAGGCCUUAAAGUUAAUACCUUUAGGGAUUGACGUUACUCGCAGAAGAAGCACCGGCUAACUCCGUGCCAGCAGCCGCGGUAAUAAGGGCGAAUUC
rnacentral:rRNA from 1 species